rnacentral:rRNA from 1 species
AGUUUGACUGGGGCGGUCUCCUCCCAAAGAGUAACGGAGGAGCACGAAGGUGGGCUAAUCACGGUUGGACAUCGUGAGGUUAGUGCAAUGGCAUAAGCCCGCUUAACUGCGAGAAUGACGGUUCGAGCAGGUGCGAAAGCAGGUCAUAGUGAUCCGGUGGUUCUGUAUGGAAGGGCCAUCGCUCAACGGAUAAAAGGUACUCCGGGGAUAACAGGCUGAUACCGCCCAAGAGUUCAUAUCGACGGCGGUGUUUGGCACCUCGAUGUCGGCUCAUCACAUCCUGGGGCUGAAGUCGGUCCCAAGGGUAUGGCUGUUCGCCAUUUAAAGUGGUACGCGAGCUGGGUUUAGAACGUCGUGAGACAGUUCGGUCCCUAUCUGCCGUGGGCGUUGGAAGAUUGAAGGGGGCUGCUCCUAGUACGAGAGGACCGGAGUGGACGAACCUCUGGUGUUCGGGUUGUGUCGCCAGACGCAUUGCCCGGUAGCUAAGUUCGGAAUUGAUAAGCGCUGAAAGCAUCUAAGCGCGAAGCGAGCCCUGAGAUGAGUCUUCCCUGAUACUUUAAGUAUCCUAAAGGGUUGUUCGAGA